UUUUAUUGUCAUACCCCAUCUGUGCCAAAGGAAAAGCGCACAAAAUACUGCUCCUGAUACAAUGCUACUUGUGUCCGUCUUUAACAGAUGGGACUCUGACUCUAUAAGCACACCUAAGAGGUGCUUGAAAGAAUCCCCGGGCCUCUUGGACACUCAAAAGGACCACCAGGGAGCCCACCAGGCCCUUAAGAUGGAGGAGCAAACAAGGAGCUCAGAUGCGAGUGGAAGGUUUAUACCCUGUUGGCAGACAGAUUAUUCUGUCGCUGGCACAGCAGCUCCCUGCACCCCCUGAACUCUAUGGGUGGAUAAUAGGCAGACGGGUGGAAGUAUAAUUGAGAAUGUAGUUCCUGUCUGUGGUAACACAAUUACCUGAAGACAAAGCUGCAGGAGGAGGAGUAUGUCUACUAUUAAAUACAAGAACGACAUGAGCCCCUUUUUGGAUAAUGACACACUUGAAGUCCCACAUUGCUGCUUCACUCUGCGUUGGCGUGAGAAGACGUCGAGUUGCGGCAUUUAACACUCCUUCCGUGUGACCUGAUCAACGCCAGAGGUGGUACAAACAAACAAAGCAUGUUGAGGCAUAUCGUCUGCACGCCACACUUAGAGCAAGGAUCCAGAGCCCUUUUCGAGCCACGGCCGCCCAACUGAAAGCCAAUCAUCCAGAAUCAUCUGCAUCCUGCAUGGCUUCCGAAACCUCGACCAUCAUGAUUAGGAUGUCGCAGUUGUCAUCUUGUUUACUCUGCGACUACCUCCACGCCGAGUUUCUCUGCCCAUGAGGGAGUUCGUCUGCCGCACAGUCGGAUACACUAUCAUGUCAUAGCCAAAAAGCAAGUGGAUUUUGCUCAACUUAAUGUUUCUGAUAAGCGGAAGAAGUCAUGUGGCGGCGCUGAGAGUCGACGCUUCAAGGAGGUCUGGAGAACAUUUGUGCUCCAGCAGGAGAUAAACGACUGACUGGCGGGGGGAAGAUAAGACCAACGCAUGAAACCUUCAAGUUUCAAAGAAGGGUCAAGAUGAUUUGGCCUCGGACAAACAAGAACACAAUCCCCGGUGAAUGCAGAGAUGAAGCUCGCCCACGACCAGUAGGCCUGCGUAAAGUCAUCAUGACAGCCCUCAUUGCCAGCUGUUCCACACGCCGUCUUCUCCUUCUGUGUGAUGCAGAAAGACAACAAACACUCAACUUGGGGUCUUCUGAUGCGCCGAAAAAUUCCUUAAGGCCGUUCCGCCUCUGCCAAACCUUGCAGCAGCUAAGUGCCGCAUGCCCGCCUGCUUCCACGCAUGCGUUCGGCCAUUUCCAGUACGCAGCCGUGACAACAUGCCACAGCUGUCACAGCAAACACGGUUAGAGGGGAGGAAACAUGCAGACGCAUACGCACACACUUUCAUCACAUGACGAUAAAAACAGCUUCCUACGUCACAUUAGAUCAAACGCGCAUUUUACUCGACGACUGCACCAACAAGAAUGUCUCUGAUUGUAUUGGAAUGAUGUUUGAAGCGAUGUUUGGGAUUUAAAAUGAGGGUUUCAAGCCAAGGGUAGGGUUUCAUACAAUGUUUCGAGCUUCAAAUGAUUGAUUAUCGCAAAGCUUUGGGCUGCAAAUUCUUUCAAACCAGGAUUGUGGUUUAAAAGUGCAAAUUAAGGUUUCAAGAUGCGUGAGGGCUUCGAAAAAGAGGUAGGGUUUCAAGAGGUGCUUACAAAUCAUAAUAAGGCUUUCAAAAGUAGGGCGUUGCUUCGCGGGCGGCCAUCUUGCUUUGUACUGACACAUGCUGGCGACCGGAAAUGACAUCACAGUGCCUAAGGGCGCAGAUUGUGAGCGUCACCUGACCAAACCCAGAAAGCAAGUGAGCCGUGAAGUCGUUACAUGAGCCCUGAGGCGCUGAUGUUGUUUUCAGGCGACAGCAUGUAUCACUACGAGCCAAAAUGGCCGCCCCCCGAGAUAGACAAAAAAGAGGGGGAUUUUUCUGCAUUAUUGAUGUUCCACAAACAGAAUACUGUAGCAUGGGCACAAUGGGUGAACAUAAAACAAGGAAUACUACAUUUUCGACAUGACUUCUUCUUCAAGCAUGUGUGGAUAUUUGUUGUUUUUACAUGGUUUCCAAAUUAUGUACAGAUUUCCAUUUGUGAGUCUGGGCCAUGAGGAGAAACGUCCCUCAUCAUUGUUGUUUUGUUUUGUUUAGUUUUAUUUCCUGGCACGGGAUACUUUUCCAUGCAGACCUAAUGGAGGACUACGAUUGCAGACCAGGAGAUAAAUGGAAUGAAAUGUGAGAAGGAGCCUUUCUUCUCCUGGAUGGAAGAGGCCUCGCAGGGAAUACAUCAGGACACGAGGGAAGCAUAUUAGAAAUUGCUUAACUUCCCGCCCGUCCGUCGGAUUCAACGCUUUGCAUCUUUCUAUCUUAACAGAAGAAAAUAAAGGGCAUGCUGGAGCCUAGCCCAGCAGUCAUCGGCCAGUCGGCAGGGGACACCCUGAACUGGUUGCCAGCCAAUCGCAGAGACACAGAGAUGAACAACCAUCUGCAAUCAGCGUUAUUGGAAUGUGGGAGGAAAGCCAAGCGCCGCAGGCUCGGGGAGAACAUGCAAACUCCACACAGCGCCCCCCUCUGGACAGAUGGACUUCGACGCCAUCCUGUCCAUCCAGUUUCUCCUAGCGUGUGGACGGACGGCUCAGACAGCAGAGAGAGGAGGUUGCCGUAGCAACUGUGCAUCGUCAAAGUGCAAGCAGCGCCGCAGCCGCUUGAGUAUGACCCCAUUAUGUACAUAUAUUUUUAUUUCAACUCUGUCAAGGUUCCACUCGCCCUAUUCGAGCGAAAAAGAAAGAGCCAAAUAACAUCUGCGCACACAAGCACAGUCAAUGCUUAUGAAUUUACGUGUGAUGAAGAUUGGAUUGAUCACUGUUCUGUGGGUAAAUACGAUUGCUGGUUUAUUUUAUUUUUGUUUUACUUUCAUCUGGGUGUCUGCAAGUGUACCCACCAUACGCCAUCGUGAACUGCAAAAACACAAUUGUGAAGGUACAGUGUAACAAUUCUAUGUGACGUUUUAUGACAUUAAAGAUUUUAUAGUAUAAAAGUAAACUAGUUUGAAAGAAAAAACCCUUUUCCUCAAUGGAAGUCUUAUUUUUCCAAGAAAAAUGGAUAUAUACUCUUUGUAUCCCCCUGCCAAAAAAAAUCAAGAGAAAAAGACUUUUUUCAGCAAUAAGUCAAAUAUUUUCAAAGAAAAAGUAUUUUUCAAGGAAAACAAGACAAAAAACAAAUAUUGUAUUUGAAAAAGUAAAAACCAUGCAGCAUGCAUUAAAUAGUGAAGCGCAGGAUUAAUAACCGUAUGCACAAAAUAAGAGCAAGUAAAACCUUUGGCUUUCCUCCCGUGGCACUCACUGUUUUAGAAGCAUUACCACUGCAGUUUAAUUAUGUUUGCAUAUUUACUGCUGCAGCCACCCGGGGGCAUCACUUGCCUCUAAUUACAUUUUUCAUUCCCCAGAUUUUCUAAUGUUUCUCAACAGCAGUCGUCUCAAUAACUCAAAAAUACACACACAUGCCAAAUGCUCUCGACACCAAGCUUUUAGAGUGGCGCACAACGCACAUACAAUAAAUUGUGUAACCUGU